GGCCGGUUGGCCGAGCGGUCUAUGGCGUAGCACUCAAGUUGCUAUAUCGAAUGAUGCGAGGGUUCGAAUCCCUCACCGGUCA
rnacentral:tRNA from 2 species